rnacentral:rRNA from 1 species
AAUUACGAUUAUGAGUUUGGAUCCUGGCUCAGGACGAACGCUGGCGGCGUGCCUAACACAUGCAAGUCGAACGGGGUAUUAGCAAUAAUACCUAGUGGCGAACGGGUGAGUAACGCGUGAGCAACCUGACCUUUUGAGGGGGAUAACAACCGGAAACGGUUGCUAAUACCGCAUAAGACCACACUGCCACAUGGCAGAGAGGUCAAAGGAGUAAUCCGCAAAAGGAGGGGCUCGCGUCCCAUUAGAUAGUUGGUGAGGUAACGGCCCACCAAGUCAGCGAUGGGUAGCCGAGCUGAGAGGCUGAUCGGCCACACUGGAACUGAGACACGGUCCAGACUCCUACGGGAGGCAGCAGUGGGGAAUAUUGGGCAAUGGGGGAAACCCUGACCCAGCAACGCCGCGUGAGGGAAGAAGGCUUUCGGGUUGUAAACCUCUGUCGCAGGGGAAGAAACAAAUGACGGUACCCUGUGAGGAAGCCCCGGCUAACUACGUGCCAGCAGCCGCGGUAAUACGUAGGGGGCGAGCGUUGUCCGGAAUUACUGGGCGUAAAGGGUGCGUAGGUGGCAAUUUAAGUUGGAUGUGAAAUCCCCGGGCUUAACCUGGGUGGUGCAUUCAAAACUGGAUAGCUAGAGUGCAGGAGAGGGAAGCGGAAUUCCUAGUGUAGCGGUGAAAUGCGUAGAUAUUAGGAGGAACACCAGUGGCGAAGGCGGCUUUCUGGACUGUAACUGACACUGAGGCACGAAAGCGUGGGGAGCAAACAGGAUUAGAUACCCUGGUAGUCCAC